UACGUAGGGUGCGAGCGUUAAUCGGAAUUACUGGGCGUAAAGCGUGCGCAGGCGGUCUGUUAAGACCGAUGUGAAAUCCCCGGUCUUAACCUGGGAACUGCAUUGGUGACUGGCAGGCUUUGAGUGUGGCAGAGGGAGGUAGAAUUCCACGUGUAGCAGUGAAAUGCGUAGAGAUGUGGAGGAAUACCGAUGGCGAAGGCAGCCUCCUGGGCCAACACUGACGCUCAUGCACGAAAGCGUGGGGAGCAAACAGG
rnacentral:rRNA from 1 species